rnacentral:lncRNA from 1 species
AUGAAUGGCUGGAAGGACACACUCUCACUCAGCUUACCUGGUAGCAACUUUGUGACUGCAGUCACUCCGCUCCAUGGCCUUGGAUUCUGUUGGAUUGGACUUUAUCUCCCACCUUUUAUUGCUGAAGAGGGAGGGAAGAACUCAGAAAAUCCAUUUUUUCUUUAUUUGCUUCAAAUGCAAUCAAAGCCUAAGAUAGAGCAGAGAAUCCUGUGCUGCCCAAUAGCUGCUGCUUCUGUAUGGGCCAGAGUACAAUCUCACUGGCGUGGGAAAGGUGCCGCCAGGCUCCUUGGGGCAGGGAUGUUAUCCUUGUCACAGCUGGAAAAGAUGUCAGUUCUUCCUGCUGGCUCUCUUCCCAGAGAUGUGGACAUUCCCAAGAUGUUCUCUCUCCAGUGGCAGCAGAAGGGGCUGCCCUAUGACCGACAGACAUGACUGUUCUCAAAGCAACAUGCUUUGCAG